rnacentral:lncRNA from 1 species
CCCUGGCUCCCCUUCCCUUUACCACCCCACUCCACCCCCACCUUGGCCCUGAACAGUGUAUCCGACAACCUCCUGCUACCCAGCUUGGGGCCCCAACCGCACCCCUUCAUCCCCCCACCCAUACUGACCAAAAAACUUGUUCUUGGAAGUGGCAAGGGGCAGGGCGAUGCGGGUGUUGUAUUCGGGCAGCCUUCCCUCUAAGCUGGCGAGGAACUAAGCGGGGAUGGGAAGCGAGAGAGGAAGGUGGGCGGGGCCGGGGGCCACCGAGAAGUCUCGUUCCCCCUCCUCCCUACCCCAUUCCGAGAUAUGCCCUAGUUCCAACUGGAGACCACUGCCCAUCGCCCGUUGUCCCCGAGACCCCUUCCUGGCUGAUCAGCCUGCAAUCUGGUCUCCCGAAGUUGCCCCCGGUUCCCUGGUUUUCCGACCUAGCCCUACUCCUAGAUCUCUGGAGCUCUGCCCCAUGGCUGCAGGGCACCUCGCGGUUAGCGAUGUGGCACAGCAUCUCCUGCACGUCGUGGCCCUGGAGCUGCGCCUGCAGUUUCAGCAGCUUUUCCUCCACGAGGCCCAGCAGGUUUGGCACAUAGUUAUCUGCCUGGGGAUCCAGCUCCUUUCCCGCGAAGCGGCCGUCCUCCUGCGGCCAGGGUAGAGCCGGGUCAGCCGAGAGGGGUGGGGCCUCUUGGAAGGCU